GCAAACUUGGUCAUUUAGAGGAAGUAAAAGUCGUAACAAGGUCUCCGUAGGUGAACCUGCGGAGGGAUCAUUUGUGAAUGCUUGACUGGGGCCAUUGCCCUGGAACAAGCACAUCUCUCAAAACCUGUGGGCCACAGUCUGGUGGUUUGGCGCCCUCCGGGGCGCCACUUUCAUGCCAAAACAGAUGUGUCGUCUGACGUUGAAUAAGACUCAAAACUUUCAACACUGGAUCCCUUGGCUCUUGCAUCGAUGAAGAACGCAGC
rnacentral:misc_RNA from 1 species